ensembl:snRNA U4 U4 spliceosomal RNA
AGCUUUGUGCAGUGGCAGUAUCGUAGCCAAUGAGGUCUAUCCGAGGCGCGAUUAUUGCUAAUUGAAAUAAGAAGUAUUCCUUCCUGUUUUGUUUUCUUGAAAACAUAUAGAAUUGGUGGUGUUUUUUAAAAG